rnacentral:misc_RNA from 1 species
AAGUCGUAACAAGGUAACCGUAGGUGAACCUGCGGUUGGAUCAUUACCAAAUCUAACCUAGUGGGUUUGCUAGUUGGCCAGAGGCAGCAAUGCUAAUGGUUUGCUAGUUAUUCCCACUACAAACACCUUGUGAACCUAUUGAAUAUUUUGUGUUGUUUCAGAUUGGAUAGUAGCUUGCUACAUUCAUCUAAUCUGAGCAUCACAAAUAAUAACAAACCCACUUAUUUAUUGGAACUGACUUUUUCAUUUUAUUAAUGGAAGAAACAACUUUUGACAACGGAUCUCUUGGCUCUC